CAAUAUUAAGAGAACACAAUAUUUUUUUUCCUUGCUUUUCUUCUAAUAAAAACUCCGUUCAGCUCCGGUUCUUUCAUAUUCAAAUGCAUAUUUUAAAAUGAAUAUUUCAAAAUGUUCCUUCAUAUUCUUAAUAACCCAGGGUAUUCGAAAAACUCUGUUUGCACAAGUAUGAUAAAAUUUUUAAAAUCCAAUAUAUCAAAUUAUAACGGCAAUUCUUUUUUCCGGUACAAAUUCAAAAUCUGACGUUUUAGCCAACUUUCGCCAAUGUUAACAAAUUAUUCAAAUCCUCAAUCUUUCGCUCAGUAUUUGCUUUCUUUUCCAGAAGCUAAUUCGUGGAAGUAAAAUUAAAAACUACUCUCCACAUUCAUUAUGAAUCCAAAUUGCAUACAAUAAAUUAAUAAAUACAUAAAAAUUGAUUUCAUCAUUCGUACCGUGUAUGCAAAUGUCCUCUACUCAUCAUACAAAUUUUAGAUCCUGCAUACGAAUGUGCUCAUUAUAACAUAAGUUAGUACGUUUCUCAGCCUAAAUUUCAACAAAUUAGUCGAAAAUACAAAUUAUGUUAGCAUCGAGAGCAAUUUUACGCAUCUCUUCAUCUACUCCUUCCUCUUUAAACAAAAAAUAAGAAAAUUACUAUAGGUGACAAAAAUUUUGUGGGGGAAAGUAUAUUUGAUAUCUGCAAAAUUAUACAUACAUAAUGCAAAAUCAGUUAUAUUAAAUCAGGGCUCAAAAUAUUUUUAGUUUAAGUAGGUACUUGUUUGGCUCAUGAGAAUGUGUAAGUAGAACAUAUUUUAUUGUUGCAUUCUCAGUGUGCAGCAGGGUUGAUUGCUUGCCAACAGCAUCCAUGCGUCAUUCAUAUGGGUUCCAGCCAAGGAAAAAGGACACAUACAUUACAGAGAAUGUCAGAGAUCAUUAGUGAUCUAUGUGCAAUUUUGAAGUGACAGAAUAGUCAUCUAUCUUACCGGUUCCGUUGGAAAGCUCAUUACUCAUUACUGACAGCGAGGUCGCACAUACAUAGUUAGUAAAUGUCUUCUUCGCCUCUCUUGACUUAAAUCUAUGCAUACCGAAUGUGUUUUCUUUAAGUUGGGCAGCGAAGCCGUUAAGUUAAUUUUCAACCCACUGGUGGGACGGAAAAUCAUUUAAAAACUUCUAACCGCAUCCACAUCUGGAUACCACGUUAUAUAUAACACAAGUGGAAAUAUUGCCAACUUUAAAAAUACAUUUGGAACCAUCCGAAUUUUCCCAUGUCACAUUUUGACCACGUACAUUUCUUCUUCAUUCGUCUCUUCCUUGCACUCGAAAUUUUAGAUAAGAAUAGACAAGUUACCUACAUAGAAUCGUUUACAAUGCCAAAAUUUCUAUCCGACGUAAAUGGGUAAAGUAGAAAUGUAUUCAUCCAUGGUAGGAGUGAGUAUUAGCCUAAAUUUAACUAAUCAUGCGACUUUCUUCGACGUGUGGUGUGCGGUAGCAUUACGAGGCAAAGUAUGAUCAUAAGAUAAUGAUUUCAUUUAAAUUUUCUCGCUGACAGAUAACCUCAUCAAUAGCCAGAGCAUUUUGUAGCCAUGAAAUGAGUCUCUUUUCCGGGGUUCAGAGUAUCAGUUUGAGCCAGAUGGUACAGGCUUGUACAGGAAAAGUAAAGAUAAAUAUUUGGCAAUAAUCCUCGUUAAAAUUUACACUUGUUGGGAUAACAAGGUCGAGAUGUCGAUUAAAUGUCGGCAUAGCGUUUAAAUCACAAACAUCCAAUAUCAUCAUCAUUUUCCAGGAAUCUGACUCCCGGGUUCAUUUGUUCCUUCAGGGGUCUUUAGGCUCUUCUGGAAAAUUGGAUUUUCUCUUUGUCAAGCGUUUCUUUAGAACACUUCAGAAAGUGUUAAUGCUAGGAUAGGACAAUGUUCAUUAUUGGUCCACUUCGCUUAUAGGGUCAUGGUCAUUUGUAUCCAUAUAGGGGCAUCGUACAACUCUUUCAACAUACCUACCCAUCCUCACUACCGCGUGUAAACAUGAUUAAUUGUACGAUUCAUUAAUUUUAGGAACACUGUAGCUGAAACAUAGUUUAGAACCCACUCAAAAUAAGGAAAGAAAAAUCAAUAAAAAGUCAGGGGAUGAAAUUGGUUAGGCACGGGCAGCUGCCAGAAAUUAGAACAACACGGUAAAGCCCGUAUAAUUUACGGUAAAAGUCCGUCGUCGGUACUCAUAAGUCCGUCUUUUUACGGUAAAAGUCCGCAUCAUCAUUCGUCCAGUUCUAUAAUAAAAUCGACAUGUGUGUAACGGUCAACGACCUACCUUUAAUCUUUACAUGCGGAAGUUCAGUGUUUAAAGAAGGGGAGAAUUGCGAGUGAACCUAGGCAUGGGGGACGUCGUAAGGACAGUCUUUCGCCAGUAGUACACGUUACUUUCUCCAAAUCGUACGACAUAGUCAGUCUCACUGUUGCAGAAUGGGCAUGUUGAGACGAUGUGUUAAUUAAAAAUAUUUUUUAAUUCAAAAAUUAGUUCGGAAGCGUAUGGAUUUAUGUAGCUUAUUUUAAAGAUUAAUGUAUGAAGUAAUUUUAGGAAAAAGAAAACUAGUGUUAUCUUGGACAGUUUUUGAGUAAUUAAGUAAUUAGUAAUAGUCCCAUGAUAAAAGUCCGAAAAUCGGGAAAAAUUAUCAUCGGAAACAUUAUGCAAAUUUUGGCUUAUUUAAUAGAUAAUAAUUGCGUAGUCAUGUUAAAAAUAUAAAAUCUUUGUAAGCCUGUCUUAGUUUUCGAAAUAUAAAUAAUUUAAGUAAUUAAAAAUAGCAUAGGGAAUUGUGUAAGAAAAGUAGCUACAGAUUGGGUAGAUGCGUCAACCACGUCAUCUGGUGGCAAGCGGUUGAAUCACUUCGCAAGAGAGCGGAAAGAGAGAACCAAAAAAGUAAGUAGGUAGUUAAGUGUAUAAGUAAAUGGGAAGAGAAGAUUUGCGCAAAAAGAGAGAGAGCAUGCUCGCACUCACUAAAAGUCACUCCGAGAGCACGGUAGAAGUAUGAGUAAGAGCAGAGAAGAUUAAUUUUAAAGUGUUAGUAAUUUAAUUGAUAGUGCAUUAAUUACCAAUUCAUUGUUGUAUUGUAGUUAAUAGUGUGUCGUAAUAAAACCAGUUAAUCUAGUUGAAAAGCGCUAGUUCUGGGACUUUAUUGGCCUUAUUACUGCAACAAGUUAUGCAACGUGAAAAGAGGGACAUUUCUGCUUAUCAUUAAGUCAUCAGUUAAGUUAUCUUGCGACGCUGUUGGAUUUUACACAUCCAUAAGUUAGCUACAGUGAGCAGCGCCGUAACAUUGGCGGUAACAUUAACUUAAAGAUGUGUCAUCUUUAAGUAUUUACACACAGGUCUUAACACUUUGGGGUCGCGCCUCAGGUCAAUAGAAAGGGUUAGUACUUCUGUCCAGGAAGGAAAGAAACGGUAGCUCCAACCUUAUACCUGACAGUUAGGAAAUAUUACAAGAAACUGGGACAGUAAUUUUACUCCCGAUAUGUGAUCGGUAGAGUUGCUAAAUAAAGCAUUGUAACACCGGUAUAAAAAUUAAUUCCCGACAAAUGUUUCGGAGAAGCUAGCAUUAAGUCCCUAUCACACUAAAAUUAGUUGAAACCAUAAGGGCAUUUAACCCUCCGACAAGGGAGGAAGAGCGCUAUAGAAAUCAAAAUACGUAGGCGGUACGCUGCGGCAAAAGAGAUAUAGAAAUACGGUAUACUGAGAAAGUAUACAGAAAAGAAAGGGGUCAUCUCAUCACUGUGUGCUGCAGACAUAGUUCAACAUGAGACGAAAAACAAGCGGUUUUUGCUGUAAGCUUUAGAACAGGUCAAAUAAUAAGUACGAUUCUGUCACAGCAUGACAAAUAGUCAUCAAAAUAUUAAUAAUUAAAUAUUAGCUUAAAAGUAAUGUUCACUCAACGGUCAUUAAGUUUUGUAUCUGAAUGCCUGAAUUUUACGUUUAACAAUGAUUGAUACAAAGAUAGAUAGGAAAAAAGAAACGAAGCUUAGAAAAGGGUACGUGAACUGAUCACUCACGUGGCAUCUAUUCAGAGUUAUCUUUUCCACUUUCCACUUAGGAAUCAAGUAAUUCCCGAAAAUGAAUAUACCAAUGAAGACAAAAAGGUAUAACGAAUAAUUGUAACAACGGAAUAAUUCUUCCCCAUUUUCAUGAUAUGAGGACCUGAUAAGAUGAAAGUAAUCACUUUCACCUUCAAUUCUUUCACCGUCAGGAAUAAGCAAUAGCACAGUUUUCGUCUUUCUUAGCAACUUUAUCUAUUAAUUUCCAACUUUCACUCUCCAUAUGUCUCAUCAUCUCAACAGCUCAUGAAGAAUGUGGUAAUCUUCAUGAAGUCAACUACAAUUCCUAUUGAAUGAAAAAUUGAUAGGUUCACCGAACACUGUAUUCGAUGAGGAAAUUGACAUUGUUUGUUCAAAGUUUUCCAAGACCGGGAAACACAUUUUGUAAUUAUCCAUUUUCUUGAAUAUUCAUUUCACAUUCAUAUUCAUAUUAUUUCUUUGAAAAGCUUUCACUCAGGCCAAAAAGACAAAGUGUUAGUAAUUUAAUUGAUAGUGCAUUAAUUAGUCACCAAUUCAUUGUUGUAUUGUAGUUAAUAGUGUGUCGUAAUAAAACCAAGAUGAAUACCAAGUAAAUAUGCAUGCUCUUAAACAUCCCAUCUUAAUAAUUGCCACGCGGUGUUCAUAUAUAUAUAUGUGACUUAACCAAAUGGUAAUAAUGUUUUUCAGCUUAUCAUGAUAAAUCUUGUCCGCUUGGGGACAACUUGUCACUGAUUUUACCACCAUUGGGAAACAUUCUCACUACUUGGUGAAAUUGCAUAUGCACACCGUUCGGUGGCGAUUUAUACCAGAUUUUUAAGAGUAUACUUUCACUCUGCCUUCAGCUUGUAUUAUCAUGGCUGACUUAUCGAUCACAGUGAGUCAUUAUGACUCACUGAUACGUAUGUACCUGAAACAAGAUCUCAUGUUGUAUGUAUUUGCAAAACAUUGACGUAUGCAUGCAUGCACGAGCUCUGCGCAAUUGAUUGGAUGGAAUUGAGCUUAAUUUGAUACAGUGUGGCUAUUAAAAGAGGGUGCAUUGUGGAAAUCACUGGCCGCGGAAGAUCAGUUAGACCGUGGGGACAUAAAUUUUCAUGUUAAUUCAAGAAAACUCAAAAUCUAUCUGAUUGAUACAAAAAUAAUCAAAUAUUUGAAUUACAAUAGUUAUAAAUUUAAUCAAUUAUCCUGAAAUUGGAUGGGAAAAGCAAUAUUAUUUCCGAAUUUCAAUAUAAUUUUGAAAUUAUAGUUUAAGCUGUCGUAUGAGGUUGAUGUUUUUGUACUUCAGUCCUUCUAAAUCGUGGGGAUAAAUGCAUUGCAUGUACUACGAUACGAUAAAGUUUCCGUGGGGACAGUUUCCCUAUGUCCCCAUGCUUCCGCGGCCACUGGUGGAAAUCCUUACUUCGGCGGGAAAAUCCGUCUCUACCUUUGGCCGCAUUCAUGGGGGAAGAAACCUUACUAUUGUAAAUGCUCAAAAUAUACUGGAUCAAUUCAAAUUUAAAGUUGACCCCCUCUGAGAUGAAAUACAUGAAAUAAUAAGCAACUCCAUAAGACGAGUCCGCCUUCAUGAAUGAAGUAUGUAGAACAACUAUUAAUUUUAUAAGAUGAAUAGUUGUUCACUCACUAAUUUAGGACCUGAGUGAGUAAUAACUCACAUUACUCAGUUAUCAAGAUGAGAAUAUAUGUAUUUACUUCUUUUUGUGGUAUAUGACCAGAAGAACAUAUGACUUAUCUUAAUUUUCUGCAAAUUAUUCGUGGUAAAUUACAUAUAAAAUUUGUUAAGCGCUGAAUUUUCGGGACGCAAUUUCCAUUAAACUCAAUUUUGGAACGAGUUAAGGAAAAUCCGUACUAAAAAAAAACAGUCAAAUAGUUCGCAGAUCGUCCUAUGUUUUUAUUGACUUCAAAAAAAUACUAACCUGUGGAUAAAAUCUUUUUCCCCACCUCGUAUCAAUUGUGAUUAAUCGAUCAUCUCGUCAUUACCAAUGUCAGGGCGACACCGAUAAGGAUAAGCGACUUAAAUCGAAAUAUUGCGAGAUAACACAACUUGACAAGAUUACGUACAUACAUUUGUGUAAAGGUUGCAUAUAUGUAUUUAUUUAGCAGGACAAAACCUUACUCGGACUUUUACCUUGGAACUUGUCGAGCUAAAAAUUUAGUCACAAAUAAAUCAUGACGAAAGUAGCUCUAAUUUUUUUGGUCCUCGUCGUCAUGGCGACGAGCGCCGUACAAGGCAGCACCCUGAACGAAAAUAAGAAGGGCGAACUGAAAAGUAAACUGUUGGAAGGAGGUUUGGAUUGGGAGUGUCCCUCGUAUUGUGAUUACUGCACGGGUUCCACCUGCUAUUAUUACGAUUACUAUUAUGGCGGCGACUUUGAGCUGGCGUGAGUUAAUUGAAAUAAAAUUUUUAGGAAACAAAUUUUGAAAGUUUGAAAUAUUAUUUUUUACGUCGUAAGCGGGAGUCACAAUGGAAGAUUUUGGUUAAAAUUGGAACAGAUUUAAUUUGAUGCAAGGUUCGAUUCGCGGUGGAAUUUGGCUUUUUUAUGCAAAAUUUAUUGCAAAUAAUGUUUUUUUUAAAUUCAGAGGUGUUUGAAUAAUUGCAUUUUUUAAAUUUUGGGGGAGUUUACUAUGUCGUAGGUUCGAUUCCUGGUCGAUUUUAUUUUUGUGUCAAUUCAUUGUAAAUAAUGAGUUUUUAAUACAUGGGUAUAUAGUCGGAUAAUUGUAUUGGUUACAAUUUGUAUAACUUGACGUCACGUUCGACUCCUGGUAGAAUUUGUUUUUAUUUGGAUUUGUUGUUGUAAGUAAUGAAUUUUAAUGAAGACUUAGACGAAUAUUUGGUUGGUAAUUUAAAAAUCCAGAUAUGUAAAUUUUUUUGUCUAGUGUGAGUUUGUUUAGUAUUUUUACGUAAAUUUAUUACGACAAAUAAAGUUUCAAUGCACCUUUCCGGGAAUAAUUGUCAUUGUUAAAAUUUUUACUUGGAUUAAUUUGCAUUCAGGUUCGAUUCCUAGUAGAAACUGGGAAUUUUUGAAUCACAAUUUUUUUCUCAGAAUUUAUUUUGAUAACCUGCUAAACUUUUAAUACAGGGUUGGUUGGAUAGUUGCCAUUUCUAUCACCCUCUUCAUCAUCUUCUUUGUCUGCAUUCCUGUCGGACUUUGCUUCUGUUGCGGAUGGUGCUGUUUCACAGGUUGUCGGAAACGAGAUCAACCCGGGAUCGUUUAUGUGCAAGGACCACCCCCCGCUGGUUGGGGGCAACAACAGGGGACCGGUCAACCACAGCAGUACGGGUAUCCACCACCAUACCCGCAUCAGCAACAAUACGGCCAAAAAGUCAACACUUAGCGUCUGUAACGAUUUGUGUUUAAUUUGUACAUAUAACAUGAAAUAUGUAAGAUUUUGAGUAAGAUAAUAAAUUAAUAAACGUUUUAUUUUGAAUUGUCCCAACAGCGCAUAUUACGGGCUCAAUACAAUGUCAAACUGAUGUAAAUUGUUAAACUCGAACAAGAAUGAUAGAAAAACAUACCAAUCAAAGAGAUUUUUAAGAUACUUGAAAUAAUUUGACAAGCUAAUUUUACUUACACAUAUGCAUGCACUUCUAAACCAAAAAUUUAUACUAAUAGAUUAAUUUUAGCGAUUAAUUCGUUUCAAUUAUAAUUUGACUUUCAUAAGUGGACUAAUUUAGUAAAACCGAUGAGUUGAUCUUCUAGCGAAAAUUAAACCUUCUAAUUCUGGAUUUUUUUGACAAGAAGAACAAGAAGAAAAGAAACAAUAGCUAAAAAAACAACAAAAAAAAGGAAAAACAAAAACAAAAAAAUUUGCACCAAUAGGAUUCACAUUGAUACAAAUUAUUAGCAUGAUUUGCAUUAUGUACAUAUAUGAAAGUAUUAAUACACAUCAAUAUAAUUCCACAUUUGGAGGUUAAAUAUGCAUGUACAUAUACAACUUACUCGAACUUUCCACCUCAUUUGAUCUCAUAAGCAUUAUCUUAUUUUAUUACCACCCCGUUCAUGUUUUACUUAUCAGGACAACCUUAUCAAGAGUUGGGAUGGACCGAAAUCCAACACAUGGGGAGGAUCGUGCAUAACCAAUGUAAUAUUUUUUUCAACAAAUCAGAUUAGUCGAUGCGUAUGUAAUCUUUGCACAAAAUAUGUAAUAGCCUGGCCCAUUCUUUUAAUCCCAAACUGUCACAUCCCUCAUACACACUCCCCCAGCGACGUCAAUCAGAUCCUCUAAUUAUUUAUGCGAGGGCAACGUUACUUCAAAAAAUUCGCGAGCAUGCUAUCUUGCCGCACUUAUUUGUCGAGGGAGUAUCCAUCCAAUAUUUUUCCCUGGAUGAUUACAGAUUACACCGACUCAGUAAUAUUUUACAGGGUGGAUGUUACAUUGCUAAUAAUUUUGCAAUAAAUAUGGCAACAUCAAUGUAUCGUGAUCUCAUUGCAAAUUAAAUUUUAACGUUGUCACCUGGAUAAAAUCACACCAAUGUCAGUCCCAAUUGUAAAAAACUCGGCAAUGGAAUAACAGCUUAAUUUUUCUCGUUGGGCGAUGGGUAAAUUGAAGGAGGGGUUUUAAGCCAAAAAACCUCUGGGGGAACGGUAAGUGAAAAUUAUGUAUCAAUUAGCAAACAUUUUAAAUUGCGUUCAUGAUGUCACAUAAAUUACAGUAUUGUACAUUCAUAUUUUUAAUUUUUAUAGAAAACAUCAGAAAGUUUAAUACCGCUGGGGUAAGCGACAUUACAACGUAUCGGAACCAAUUAUUAGGUGCGUAAUUUUGUUGUAAUUAUUUAUAUUGUUAAACACCUAGGCAUAAAAUUAAUAUUAGCUUAUACGAGAUUAUUGCCAAAAGUAAUAUUACCAAGUACCAAUUUAUAACUAAUUUGUUUUACCGGUGGAAAAAUAAACUGGUAAAUUAAUAUAUUUAUUUUGCCAAUAAUUAAGGUAAUACAUACGUCGCUACCGUAGCAACCGUUUGGAUUGGCAUUGUCACCAUAAAAAAUAACUACGAAUUUUCUAACAGAUCAAAUGGAUCCUGCUCAUUUAUCUGAACAGGCUGAAGAUUAUAAUAUCAAUUCGCUCUCCCCGUUCGAGAGCGAAAACGAGAUGGAUUUCUCCGAUCUGCUAGUCGCUUUUCCCUCGAUACCCAUCGAACCUCACGAUGUAGGCGGGUCGUACUCGGAAUUUACCUUGUCUCCUUUAGGGACGUGGUUGCAAGACAAUGCGGCCGCCUUGGGCGAUGAUGACGUGUCCUUUCCGGGCAUCGGCUUCAUCAACCGAGCCGAGUUAUGUUGCCCAGCUGAUGAGCCAUCUUUGUCAACACCAGCUGACCAAAGAAAUCCUAUUUUAUCACCGCCGGUGGACCAAGUCAAUCCUAUUUUACCACGUCCAGCUGACCAAAUCAUUCUUGUUUUAUCACCACCAGAUCAGCCAGUUGGUAGGAUUCUACCCCAACCUACUCAGCGGAAUAAUUAUAUUUUAACACCACCAGCUCAACCAGUUGGUACCCUUGUAUCAUUAAAAGUGAAGCAAUGUAGUAUGACCUUAUCACGAUCUGGCAAAGGCGAUGAUCAGAUUUUAUCACAACCAUUAAAAAAGAAAAGGGGUCGACCACCAAAAUUGAAGGAACCAGCCCCACCAGCCUUGCCCCGGGUAAAGAAAUAUGACCUAAUACCUGACACAAAGGCAGUCAGGAACGCUAUUGCCGCCCGGAAAACCCGAAUCCGAGCAAAGGAACGACUCGCUAAGCUAGAAGCCGAAGUAGCCGCUAAAGAAGAUACAAUAUCGCGACAAAACAAAACCAUUGAACUGCAACGGGUGGAGAUUUUGAAAUUGAAGGACCUAGUGGGCCACAUCGAGCAGACUUUAAAUUUAGCCAAGGGAAACAAUCAGGGGCAAAAUUUCGGCAUGUAUGAUGGUAAUUAAAUUUUGCCCCGAAAUAGUUAGUAAUUGGAAGCAACCAAAUUUUAAUAUUUCAAUUAAUAUGACUUUAAAUUUUCCAUUUUCUGUCCAUAAAAAUAAGAGGAUCUUAGGAUGAAUAAUCUUAGGAUUAUUUACAUUUUAAUAGACAAAGUUCAAAAAUAUUUAAACUUCUUUAGUCCAUUUUCAAAGUUGUUCUUCAAUAUUCAAUUUUAGACGGGAUUCAAUCAUUUAAAAGAUAAUUAUGCUAGAUCUUUAGAAUUAAAGUGGGGAAAUGAUGUGUACAAUUUAUUUCUUUGACUACUUAUUUUAUAAGCGGGAAAUAUAUUUGUACAGAAAAGGAUUCAUGAUUAGAUUUAAAUGAAGAUCAAUAUAGUAUUCAUCAAGGUGGUUGUUGCUGGCAGUCCAACUUCGCAAAUAUUAUAUUAAAUUAAUUAUCCAAGUAGGUAUGAAUAUAUUGUAGCAACAUAUUGAUGAGAAACAAUACAAGUAGAAAAUACCCUAUCUAGUUAGGUUGAAAGUUUUUGGCGGGAACAAUAACGAACACACUGUACACAGCAGUGAAUUUUCGUCACGUUAUCAUUUAUUUCUCUUCUAGAAUUAUUUAAUCUAACAAUUCCGCCAGGGUUCCAAAUUUUAUGUAAAAAUUUUAAAAAUCUUAUACCGCCAUUUAUUGUACUUGGAAGACUUUAGGUUUGGUGAUUUUGCUCCUUAAUCCAUCCCCAUUAUUGGUGCUGGAUUGCGUGGUAAAAUCAUCAAACUAGAACUCUUCCAAGUACAAUAAGUGUAUUUCUUUCCCUGUAAAUAUAAUGUUAUUGGAUAGUUUAGUAAUAUGUAUAUUCAAAAAUUAAGUAGAUGUAAAUUAGGUUAAAUCCAGCUUAAAUUAAAAUAGUUAUUUAAAUUUCAAAAAGGUAAAAAAAAACACAAUACAUCAAAUAAAAUCAUAAAAAGUUUAAGCGCAAAAAAAUAAAAUAUAAUAAGAUUUUAACUAUAUUUAGUUAGUUAAUAAAUAAAUAUAUCUUGGUUAAAUAUGUAUAUGUAUCGUUGGAAAAUUUAGGAAAUGCAAAUUACUUUGAAUCACCUGGCGUUAAGUAAAAUUAUUUUAAUUUCCAAAAAGUAAAAAAAAUCAUAAACCAGUUUAAAGGGUAAAAAAUUAAAUUAAGCUUUCAACUAGAUUUAGGUAAUUAGGGCGUGAUUUAGAUAAAUUACGUUAAUCUAACUUUAAUUAAAAUUUGCAUUGCUUAAAAAAAUAUAUUGAAUAAUCUGAUAUAAUUUCAACCGUAUUAUGAGACGAUGAGAGAUGUUUGGGAUUCGAAGAGACGAAAUAUAUGAAUAGAUUAAACUACGUUGUCCUGUUUCAGUUUACAAAACUCUCUUUAGUUGACUUCAUCAAAUUCUAUUAACUUCAACCACGCAGCACAAAGUAUCUAAGUAAAGUCUAACAACACACACGUCUCAAUUUAUAAUACACACAGUCCACGUGAAAUAGGCAACAUGGCAGAAAAAAUAAAAACAAAUUCGUCGUCUUCCCCUGAGGCAAAAAGUGCCUGUUUACCCCAGCUCUUCUGGCCAUUAAAGUUCAUCGUCCACUUUAUUAUACGCCUAGAAGGCCAUGCAAAUUUCCUUCGGCGAAAGUGAGAUCAGGUCCAAGUUCAAGUGCAACUGCAUUCAAGUAAUACCUUGUCAGUGGAGGCCAGAACGUUCCCGCUCUUUCCUCUACAAGUUCGAGUGUUGACUGUAGUGGAACUCCAGCCAGGUGUGGUGUAGUCAUUGCGACUGACCUGGUCGUAUUUGGUGCAUCGUAGCAAAAGGUUCUUUCAAUAGAAAGCAAUAAAAGGCAAUAAACAGCUAGUUGAUGAGUUCUACUAAAACAUUGAAGGCCAUAAAAAAUCAAUGACUACCGAUCUACAAUUUUUGUUGCAAAGUGGUAGCAAAAUAGUAGAAACUUGAAUCGAAUAACCGUGGCAAAAUAUUUGUUAUUUUAACGUGAUUCCAUAGUAUAAAAAAUUACUGUUAAUUCUUCAAACCAUUCUGCUACACAAAAAUAACAGUAAAAUUCAUGCAACUUUUCAUGAAACUUUUCCACGAGAAAAGUAGCGUGGAUUUCAACCAAAUAACAACCGUGGUAUUCACCAAAAUAUUGUACGAAAAAAUAACGCAGAUUUAACCUGGAAUGCGAACAAAGAGAGCGCGCAGAAUCCAAAGUAUUCCCUCACAUUUCUCUGUCACAAAGUCAGUUCAAUGAAAUUUUUCUCCCAAAAUGUCAUCCCUCCCAGUUCAUAAAUUUUGUAUAUACAAAUUGACUAUGAUGGCGAAAAAUUAAUAGAAAUAGCUCCCACGAUUUGGCUUGAAGAGGAGGAAACAUCGUGUUUCGGCCACCAGCUUCUAAACUAAAAAGUUUCUGUAAAAAGGGAAAUGUACAUCCCCUUCCAUCCUAGAGUAGACAGACGUAUGAUAAAAUCCUUGGAAAAUACGGUAAAUAUUAUCGAUUUAGUUCAAUUAUUAAUGUAAUUUACUUGAUUAUAUAAUUUAAAUAAAAAUCUCAAUUGCAGAUACGUGGAAAUUAGCUUGUGAGAAGGCGGAUAACGGAGGACACUUCCAAUCUUGAAAGCGCAUCAGAGAAUCGUUGAGAAAGCCGAAAUAAGAAACAUUAUCGAGAAUUGUUGCACCCGAACGUGUCAUCAAGCAGCAGUGAAGACGAGGAAGAUAAUUCCAUUAUAGUUUUACCUCUUCCCAUAGACAAUCAAGGAAGCAUUGAAGUGCAAGUAUCAACUCAAAACAACGACAACAUUCCUUCAGUAAAUCAACCAGAAGUGGGCAACUUGGAAGAGCAAGACAUUGGCGUACUUUUGGCGACAUUAGAGAUGAUUUUAAGAAAUUGAUUGAAGGUUAUCAUACAAGGAUUAUUAAAAUUCUUUAGCGGCAAAACGCAGAAAUUCUUGAGAUCAGAACUGCUCUCCAUAAUAUCCGAAUUUCAAACGAAGGAGAUGUUGAAGCUGACUUUUCAUCUAUUCCACAUCAUCAUCUGGAAACGAGAGAGCACCUUGAGCAAACUGAAAAUUGGCUGAAGCUUGCCGAUGCAAAUAAUCGAGAUCUAUUGGUAUAUUUAACUUUUUAACUUUUUUUAAUUUAACUUUUGAUUAAUUUUUUGAUGGCAUUAUUUUGUACGAAUUCACUUAUACACAUUAGCGCAGACGCCCUAAAAUUAGGUCCGCUUGAUUCAUUUAGUGCGUUUCCUUACCAAAAUAACAUGCAGUUUAUUAAACGAACUUUGAGGGCGUCAUACAAACCCUUAGAGCAAUGUGUCAAUAGGAUAAUUGAGAAAGAAACUGUUCCUUUGUCUCAACCUGUGUCUACAACUACUACCUCGUUUAAAUUAACCCGUAAUGACAAUUGUUAUAAGUUAAAAUCUGGGUCUAUUGUUGUUAUAUCAAAAUAUAUUAAAGAUAGUCAAGUCAUAGUAUGUAAGAAAUUCAUAAAGCUUGAAGAUUUGUACAAAAAUCCCAGCUCUAGUUCAGUUUUAGGCAUACAUCAGGUGCCAAAAACAUCAAAGUUUUAAAGUAAAUGUUUUACCGUAGUUGAAGCAAAAUGUUGGUUGAUGCCAUUGGAUGAAAAAUUAAUUGUUGUUCCUUUAAUAAAUUGUUAAUAUAAAUAAUAUAAUAUAAAUUGUUAAUAAAUUGUGAUUUUAUUACCAAAGAACUGUG